GAUGAACGCUGGCGGCGUGCCUAACACAUGCAAGUCGAACGAAGGGACAAGAAAGUUUCUUUCUUGCAGUUUGCGGGGGGCAGGUGAGUGAAACGUGGAUAAAACACCUCUUUGACUGGGGGAAAAUCGUGGGAAAGUAGCGCAUACAGCGUAAUAUUUCGAACCGCAUGAUUCAGGAGAGAUAGACGGUGUUCGCGACACUUAUAGAUGGAUUCGCGCUGCAUUAGCUAGUUGGUAAGGUAACGGCCUACCAAGGCAACGAUGCAUAGCGGACCUGAGAGGGUGAUCGGCCACACUGGAACUGAGACACGGUCCAGACUCCUACGGGAGGCAGCAGUGGGGAAUCUUCGGCAAUGGGCGAAAGCCUGACGGAGCAACGCCGCGUGAGUGAUGAAGGUCUUCGGAUCGUAAAACUCUUUUAUUGGGGAAGAACACAUGCGUAAGAAUAUGUGGACGUCUUGACGGUACCUAAACAGAAAGCCACGGCUAACUACGUG
rnacentral:rRNA from 1 species